UACGGAGGGUGCAAGCGUUGUUCGGAAUUAUUGGGCGUAAAGGGCGUGUAGGUGGCUCGACAAGUCUGGUGUGAAAGCCCACGGCUCAACCGUGGAACUGCAUUGGAAACUGCUGAGCUCGAGUAUUGGAGGGGGUCGCGGAAUUCCCGGUGUAGAGGUGAAAGUCGUAGAUAUCGGGAGGAACACCAGUGGCGAAGGCGGCGACCUGGCCAUUUACUGACACUGAGACGCGAAAGCGUGGGGAGCAAACAGG
rnacentral:rRNA from 1 species